UGGAUGAUGUGGUUAAUUCGAUGCAAACGCGAAAACCUUACCACCUUUGACAUGUACGGAUCCUUUAGAGAUAGAGGAGUGCUCGAAAGAGAACCGGAACACAGGUGCUGCAUGGCUGUCGUCAGCUCGUGUCGUGAGAUGUUGGGUUAAGUCCCGCAACGAGCGCAACCCUUGUCAUUAGUUGCCAUCAUUUGGUUGGGCACUCUAAUGAGACUGCCGGUGACAAACCGGAGGAAAGGUGGGGAUGACGUCAAGUCCUCAUGGCCCUUAUGGGUAGGGCUUCACACGUCAUACAAUGGUCGGUACAGAGGGUUGCCAACCCGCGAGGGGGAGCUAAUCCCACAAAGCCGAUCGUAGUCCGGAUCGCAGUCUGCAACUCGACUGCGUGAAGUCGGAAUCGCUAGUAAUCGUGGAUCAGCAUGUCACGGUGAAUACGUUCCCGGGUCUU
rnacentral:rRNA from 1 species